CUGGUAAAAACUCCCAAAUUUUCUCAAUCGAAAUUGCCUUUUUUGCGAAUAAAAAAUCACUCUGUGAAAAGUUUGUCUUUUGAUUUCAAGCUAGAAAGUUAGAGAUGUGCGGUGGUGCUAUAAUCUCCGAUAUCAAACCGCCGGCCCGGACGUCGCGCCGGCUGACCUCUAAGUUGCUGUGGGGGAGCGCUGAUCGGAGCAGCGCAGGUGGGAAGAAGAAGAAGAAUUUUGCUGGAAGCUACUAUUCCGGAGGCCUGCGAUCCGCGGCUUUUGACCUCGAUAAUGAAUUCGAGACUGAUUUUCAGGACUUCAAUGACUAUGAUGAUGAUGAGGUCGUAGAGGUGGACGUCAAACCCUUCGCUUUCGGACUUUCUUCCGGUUUCGGCUCAGAAUCGAAGGACUUUGACCAAUCUAUGAAGAGAAAGAGGAAAAAUCAGUACAGGGGGAUCAGGCAGCGUCCUUGGGGCAAAUGGGCGGCUGAAAUCCGUGAUCCGAGUAAAGGUGUUCGCGUCUGGCUAGGAACUUUCGACACUGCUGAAGAAGCGGCGAGAGCCUAUGAUACUGAGGCUCGGAGGAUCAGAGGCAACAAAGCUAAGUUGAAUUUCCCUGCUGAAACUCAAGCAAAAUCGUCAAGGCGCACUGUCAAGGUGAAUCCACGGAAGGUGGUUCCUAAUACGGUUCAACCUGAUGCGAGUAGCAUGGACAAUAGCUAUUAUGAUCCUAUGAGUGUUUUGGAACAAAAACCGCAGGUGAAACUGUACGAUUCCGUGGGAGAUAUGGGACUGCUAUCAUAUCCCCCAUCUGGUGGUGCUAACCUUUAUUUCAAUUCUGAUGGUGGAAGCAACAAUUCCUUGGACUGUACUGAGCAUGGCUCAAGGACUCCAGAGAUAUCCUCUGCUCUGUCGGCUGGUGUUGAAGCUGAUGAGGUUCAGUUCAUUCAGGAAACCCACCCACAAAAGAAACUGAAGUCAACGGAGAAUACCACCGUUGAGAAGCUGUCUGAAGAGCUCUCGGCUUUUGAAGAUCAGAUGAAGUUCUUUCAGAUCCCUUAUCUGGAGGGGACCUGGGACUCAUCAGUUGACACAUACCUUAAUGUUGAUGGUGGAAACGCCUUAGAUCUCUGGUCAUUUGAUGAUGUUCCUUCUUUAAUGGGGGGUGUCUUCUAGCUAAACUGAUGCAGAGCAUCCCCUUUCUGGCUUGUGUUGUAUAUAAUCAAUCAUGUUGGUUUGUGGUUGUAGCCUGCUGGUGCUAAGAUGAUGGUGUCUGCAUUUGGGUGGUGUUGACUGUUGAGGGUUUAUAAAUAAACCUUAAUAAACACUGUGAGUCCUCCAUUUAAAUGUUUGUGUGGAGGAUGAUCGCCGACGAAUUGCUUCUUAUUAUGUGAUGUUGUGUGUGAUAUUUAAGUUGCUUGAAUUUAUUGUGUGCUAAUAACUUGUAAUGUAGAUCAACCAAAACUAAUCUUGGCUUUCGUAUUAA